AUACUUACCUGGCAGGGAAGAUACCAUGAUCACGAAGGUGGUUUUUCCCAGCGUGAGGCUCAUCGAUUGCACUCCGGAUGUGCUGACCCCUGCGAUAUCCCCAAAUGUGGAAAACUCGACUGCAUAAUUUGUUGUAGUGGGGGACUGCGUUCACGCUUUCCCCUG
ensembl:snRNA U1 U1 spliceosomal RNA